GUGAAUCAUCAAAUCUUUGAACGCAAAUUGCACUCUCCUCGGAGAGUAUGCCUGUUUGAGGGUCAGCCUAUAAAAAAUCGACAUCGUUGCUGUUUCGCGGUGGCGUUCGUGGGAAAUUGGGUCAUCUUAUUUCUUUUGGUUUUAAGUGACUUAAAAUUUUCUUUUUGGUUCCACGAACGUUUCUAAGAUUUAUUUCUUUACACGUUUAAGGUAUCGAUUUUUAUUUGACGUGACCAUCAUAUCGGAUCGCGCGCCUAAUCUUUCA
rnacentral:misc_RNA from 1 species